AAAUGAGCAUCUCUUGAAUAUUGGUUAUUGCUUUUUUUUUUUUGCCCAGUUACUUAAUCAUUUGUCUGAAGACUCAAAGGUCUGUGGACUCCAUUCUGAGGUCUGAAUUUAGAGAAGAACAAGGAGAGUGGCAUUCCUUCACAGAUUUCCAGCUGCUUUGGCGAAAGAUUGUACCUGCUUCACACCCUGAACUGUGAAUGUCUUGUGAUUGCUGUAUUUAAGGAAGAGGCCUGAUCCCUUA
rnacentral:lncRNA from 13 species